UGCCCAUCUUUUUUUUUUUUUUUUUCCUUUCCUAGUUGUAUGGGGAAGGAAGAAAUGAAGAAAAAUGCAGUAGGAAAGUAGGAAUAAUGAUAAAUAUAUUGUUCAAAAGACAAAAGUAUAUAUCUCAGUAGAGAAAUGCAAACAUUGAAGUACUUUCCUACAAUGAUUUCUAUUUUAUUUUUACUGAUUAUGCACUCUUUGCAGCUGUCAUAAGGCGUCAAUUGCAAUGGAAAAGGGAAAUGGAAUCUAUGCAAUUGCCAACUGAAAAGAAGAAAAAAAUACAGCACAAAAUGGGACAGUUGUUCUGACCUUCCAAUUGCAGGUAUAGGUGGACAACUUAAGGAAUAGCAACGCACAAUCCAGAAGGAUAUUUGUAUCCUUGACGUGACAAAACAGCCAUAAGUGUAAUUGAAAUAUAUGAUCCUUUUGGCAUUGAUGCAGAUACCUAAUUUUGAUGGUGUAGGAGAAUGAAUGAUGUGACAUUUUGCUCAUUUUCCUCAGCUAUAGCUUGUACAGUUUCUUAAGAGUAAAUGACCUUACAGUAUUGUAUAAUAUAGUCUUGACCCUGACUGUUAUGGCAGCUUAAAGUGUAAACAUGCAGUCAGCAAAACAGCACUACUGAAAGUUGGAUAUAAUUUACAGUGGGACAAAAUCAACUGAAAGUUUCAAUGGCAGUGCCUGAUGGCCUUGACAUUGUUCUAAGUCUAUAUCAUAAUAGGUUCAGUUAAAACCAGAAAUUUUGUCUCUGGAUGGAAGUUUAUUUAAAGACACAAAAUACCAAAUUCAUUUAUAU
rnacentral:lncRNA from 1 species